CUUGAUUCCGACUAACAAUCAACUGCAGACGGGAGUUAGAGAGGUCAAGAAGGAAGAGCCCAUAGGGUGAAAGCGUUACUAAGAGUCGACGAUAAAAAAGAGCUUAGCAACCCACCAAGAGUUUAAGAGAAAAAACUCAAGGAGCCAGAGAAAAUCUCACUUUGGACCCCUAAGGAUCUCGAACUUAAAGAAA
ncrna:unclassified sequences IMES-1 RNA motif